AUAACUUGCGAAACAUCUUUCUGAUUGCACUGACAUGCUGGUUUAGGCGAAGACCCGGUCUGUUUUCCAUCUGCCACUCCUGCCAGCAAGUCCUACUUCAACUUCAAAGAAUCAAUGGUAGAGAGAAUUGGUGAUAGUUCAAUUGAAGGAGUCUUGCGCUUGUGGGAUGUGCGCUUAGCUUGAACGCAACGCCUCAGAAACAGUCCGCUUAUUCCAAAGCUUGGAACUAGUGUCAGCGAGCAAAGUUGAAAAGAAUGCAUCUACAAAAUCUAGAACCUAAAACGCUUUAUUGAUAUCUGCCACACGGCAGACAUGCAUGGCAUCAGACGUAGGUGCUAGCGCAAUUCUAGCCUUUAGACAUCGAUUUAACUUGCUAAGGGAAGUUAGCGAGACACGCAGAGGACACAAGUGACAAUAGAGCACCUCUUGAGCUACAGGGUGAGUCCAGCGCUCGGAACUGCAUGGACUUUGAAACACAACCUUAGCUGCAGUCUAGAUGGUGCCUGAUCGUCUGCCUCUCAUCAUCCUACUUCUUCGCUUUGUUGUCAAGGUAAUUCCAUUCGUGGUUUCAGGAGAGGCCGAUCCUCAGUGGACAUUACACUCUCAUGUGAAGUCGACUUUUUGCAGUGAGAGCAGUUGCAGAGAAGUUGACAAUUGCUAUAAAGGAGAGAAACAGGAGGGAGGCAUGGCAACUGCUGUAGCCUCAAACCCUCCGCAAUGCAAGGUUGGUGAAAUUAUUUCAAAGUUUGAAAGGAAAGGCUUUCAGAUCAUUGGACUCAAGCUCUUCAGGCCCCCAAAAGAACUCGUCGAGGCCCUGGAGGGCUCCAGCGUUGUGGCGGCGGCGCGGAAAUUCAUCGGCGCAACCAAUCCCUUGAAAGCAGAGCCAGGCACCAUCCGUGGUGAUUUCGCUAUCGACGUGGGAAGGAACGUCGUUCACGGAAGUGACAGCCCUGAGAAUGGUUUCCAGGAACUCGGCGAGAAUUCUAGGGCUUUGGUUUCACGAAGAUGAGCUCGUUGAGUGGGAGCAACAGUAACAAAUGACUCAGCUGGAACAAUGAAAGUAAUGAAUCGAAAUUUUGUUUUGAACUCAUUAUAUGGUCAUGCAACACAAAAUGAGUGGAGCGUUUAGAUCUCAAUUACUCUUGUCAGAAGUAUAGGAUUAAGUGUUUUGUCCAGUCUGGUGCAAUUUGAAUGGACGAUUGAUGAAGUUCACGAGCUGAAGACUGUAGAAAGAAGUGGAUUUCGCACGCCGUUUGAGGGAUAUGCAAAUAGCUUAUUACAAGGGACAAGAGAUUAGUUCCCAUGCAACUUAAGUAUUAAAGCGAGUUUUAUAAGAUUGUGUAUCAUGAGUACAACAUGAUGAUUAGAAUACAGAGAACAACAAUCGACCUGCAAUUCGACCUUUCAGAUUUCAACAGUUUCUCGACGAUGAAGACAUGAUAGUCAUCAGUUGACAGCACCGAAUGCCGGUAAGGAAUCACAAGGAUUCAUGCCACUGAUCAGGGGCGAUGACCAUGACUAACUUCUUUCGACGUAACACAGGCGGCAGAUGUCACAACGCUGCAUCUACACAUGUUGCCAGCUCUGUCUGCGCCGCUUAUGCAGCUCCUGUGACGAUCUCGGAACCAUCUCAAGGUGGCUUGCACCAAACUCCUCUGCCGCGCCUUGUAGCGCGUCCUGUUGCCCGCAACGGGUUGUUGCAGCCGUGGUGGAGGUGUCUCUAUAGCUGUGGAAGACGACGGUGUGUUAAUGUGAUCGAUGUUCCUGCUGGAGGCAGGAACGUGGGCGAAGUUCUCGGGUAUGUCGGAGAGAUUGAUGUUGCGUCUAGACUUUCUCUCCAAGCUUCUCUUAGCAUGAAGUCCAGCCCUGGCAUUCUCUAAAAUCGCGUCAACCUGAUCAAAUAUAUCAUCAUCCUCAUCAUGCACUUUUGUCGACAUCUUAAAUUCAGGAUAGGUUACAACCACCUAAGUGACGAUGCGAGGUGAUGCGAGAGAGCUGCGGCGCCGCAAACAGCGGCUGCUAAAGGGAUUUGAUAAUUUGACACUACAACAGAGUUGCUGGCUCGCACGAUAUCUAUGUGACUUACGGUAAAUGAUGCAAGAGGCGCCUAGUGCCAAUUUGAUUCCAGCGUUGAUGCAAUUGCACAAGAUGUCCACCCAUCAUCCAUCCCAAUCAGUGGUGAACCCAAUUCAGUGGUGAUCAUCCGAUAAGGGCUUCGAGCCACAUAACGUCAAGAUUUUUAACUAGCACUCAGAGACUGCACAGAUUCCAGCGAUCGAUCGGAGCUACAACGAAGGGCAUGUCGCAGGAAAUCAGAUGCACACUAAAAACGUGCAAACAGAGCUAGUCAACACCAGAACUACGUCUCUCCUGAGAAACAGAUUCCAACACCUCAGCAUAAUCUUCGUCUGUACCAAAGCAUGCUCGAAAGCUAUGUACAAUGCAUGUAUCAACCUCCAUUUCCCAGCUCGCACAACUAUGUUAAGACCAAGAUGGCAGUGAAUGGACUGCUGCCAAUAUUUCAUUCUAAAAAGCCACAACCCUCUCAGCAAGUACGGAUUCUCAGGAAACGGAUGCAUGUGACCUGCAGAAGUUGGCGCUGCAAUAUUGUCGAGAGAGCUCCGCAAGUACUCUGACAAUCCUAGAAACGAAGACCCACUUGUAACCUGCAUGCUUAAGCUCCCGACCUAUUUAAUGACACUUGGUCUGUUUAGCAAAUCGUAUCAUUCUCCACUCUCGGUCAAGUCCAUACGUUCACCAGUAAAUCGGUGUGGUAGUUGACCAGCACAACUCCACAAUUAUGUCGCAUGAGUCUAUGCAGCUUACUGCGGUUGAGUUCGUGUAAAAAUACAUUUGGAAUGACCACUCAGAAUGUUUCUAAAUAUCCAUUUCAAAUUAAAUCCAUCGUGAAACCA